rnacentral:rRNA from 3 species
UGUCGAUGAAGAGCGCAGCAAACUGUGUGAAUUAAUGUGAACUGCGUACUGCUUUGAGCAUCGACAUCUUGAACGCAUAUUGCGGCCAUGGGCUAGCCUGUGGCCACGCCUGUCCGAGGGUCG